GGGAAAGGGGGAGUGAGGCCUAACACAUGCAAGUCGAACGGCAGCACAGUAAGAGCUUGCUCUUACGGGUGGCGAGUGGCGGACGGGUGAGGAAUACAUCGGAAUCUACUUUUUCGUGGGGGAUAACGUAGGGAAACUUACGCUAAUACCGCAUACGACCUACGGGUGAAAGCAGGGGAUCUUCGGACCUUGCGCGAUUGAAUGAGCCGAUGUCGGAUUAGCUAGUUGGCGGGGUAAAGGCCCACCAAGGCGACGAUCCGUAGCUGGUCUGAGAGGAUGAUCAGCCACACUGGAACUGAGACACGGUCCAGACUCCUACGGGAGGCAGCAGUGGGGAAUAUUGGACAAUGGGCGCAAGCCUGAUCCAGCCAUACCGCGUGGGUGAAGAAGGCCUUCGGGUUGUAAAGCCCUUUUGUUGGGAAAGAAAAGCAGCAGGUUAAUACCCCGCUGUUCUGACGGUACCCAGAGAAUAAGCACCGGCUAACUUCGUG
rnacentral:rRNA from 1 species